rnacentral:rRNA from 1 species
CCUACGGGUGGCAGCAGUCGAGAAUCUUUCACAAUGGGGGAAACCCUGAUGGUGCGACGCCGCGUGGGGGAAUGAAGGUCUUCGGAUUGUAAACCCCUGUCAUGUGGGAGCAAAUUAAAAAGAUAGUACCACAAUAUGAAGAGACGGCUAACUCGGUGCCAGCAGCCGCGGGAAUACAGAGGUCUCAAGCGUUGUUCGGAAUCACUGGGCGUAAAGCGUGCGUAGGCUGUUUCGUAAGUCGUGUGUGAAAGGCGCGGGCUCAACCCGCGGACGGCACAUGAUACUGCGAGACUAGAGUAAUGGAGGGGGAAGCGGAAUUCGCGGUGUAGCAGUGAAAUGCGUAGAUAUCGAGAGGAACACUCGUGGCGAAGGCGGGUUCCUGGACAUUAACUGACGCUGAGGCACGAAGGCCAGGGGAGCGAAAGGGAUUAGAUACCCCAGUAGUC